rnacentral:rRNA from 1 species
UGGGGAAUUUUGCACAAUGGGGGAAACCCUGAUGCAGCGACGCCGCGUGAUUUAGAAGGCCUUCGGGUUGUAAAAAUCUUUUCUAUGGGAAGAAAAUGACAGUACCAUAGGAAUAAGGACCGGCUAAUUACGUGCCAGCAGCCGCGGUAAUACGUAAGGUCCGAGCGUUGUCCGGAAUCAUUGGGCGUAAAGGGUACGUAGGCGGGUAAGCAAGUUAGAAGUGAAAUCCUAUAGCUCAACUAUAGUAAGCUUUUAAAACUGCUCAUCUUGAGGUAUGGAGGGGAAAGUGGAAUUCCUAGUGUAGCGGUGAAGUGCGCAGCUAUUAGGAGGAAUACCGGUGGCGGAGGCGACUUUCUGGCCAUAACCUGACGCUGAGGUACGAAAGCGUGGGUAGCAAACAGG